GAUGAACGCUGGCGGCGUGCUUAACACAUGCAAGUCGAACGAGAAGUGAAGACGGAAACCUUCGGGCGGAAGGCUUUAUUUCGAGUGGCGGACGGGUGAGUAACGCGUGGGUAACCUGCCUCAUACAGGGGGAUAACAGUUGGAAACGACUGUUAAUACCGCAUAAGACCACAGCACCGCAUGGUGCGGGGGUAAAAACUCCGGUGGUAUGAGAUGGACCCGCGUUCGAUUAGCCAGUUGGCGGGGUAACGGCCCACCAAAGCGACGAUCGAUAGCCGAUCUGAGAGGAUGACCGGCCACAUUGGGACUGAGACACGGCCCAAACUCCUACGGGAGGCAGCAGUGGGGAAUAUUGCACAAUGGGCGAAACCCUGAUGCAGCGACGCCGCGUGAGUGAAGAAGUAUUUCGGUAUGUAAAGCUCUAUCAGCAGGGAAGAAAAUGACGGUACCUGAGUAAGAAGCCCCGGCUAACUACGUG
rnacentral:rRNA from 1 species